CCUUGCCCCCGUAAUAGCCACACAACCCUUACCACAGACUACUGUUACUGCCGUUUACCGGUAAUGCGUCCUUGCUUCCCCGAAUGCUGAAGUAUAACACAAGAGAAGCAAGCGGAGGCAAGUGUAGAGUGGAAAGUGGAAGGCUUUAUUAAAGGACAGCAGAAAAGGCUUCUCCCAGGACGAAGAAGGGGACCCGAAAGGGAGAAUUCGUGGAAGGGGGAAGUCUUCCCUUUUGUAUAGCUAAGGUCUUCUUUUAGUCCUCCCACAUUCCUAUCCUUUGUUUCCCUCUGUCCUGCAGCUAUAGAAUGCAGGUGGGAAGGACAAAAGGUGGGAGAUGAUGGACUGGAGGAGUAAUCUGGACAGGAAAAGCCUGGGGUGGUUUGAUUAACAUUUCCCUGUUUGCUAGGAGCUGAUUCAUUAACAUUUCCUUAGGAUGGGUUCCGAGUUUUGGGGUCAUUAACAUUUCAAUUUCCCCAAGUGCUGCUCUGCUUUCCUGGUCUCCAUUUUCUUUAUCUUUUUCUAUAUUAGACCCGAUUUACCUAACUACACUAACUACCUAUCUGUAAAUCUGGCUUCACUACUUCCUUGGGGGCAUCCAAGGCAUUCCUGCUCCCUGAACCCUCUCAAACCCCUGGCACCUGCUCCACACAAACACCCCCCCCCCCGUGUGCCCAGUGAUCUCCUCUUCUAAGUGGCUCACUGGGCAAUCUGUGCUCAAGGCCUACCAUAGGGUCACUUGUGGAAAGGGACCAGGAGGUAGGUCAUGAACCCACUUUCAGAGUGUACUGAGGCAGUCCUGGGUCACGAAGCCCUCCUGGUUUUUAGGAACACUGGGUGCUUGUGACAUGAAUUGAAGCAUGUGUGUUUGUGUGUAUCCCACUAAUGGAGGAGAGGACUCCUGGUUUCUCUGGAAAACGAUGUCCCACUAAUGGGAGGGGGGAAGUCCCUGAUUCCUCUGGUUGUUAUAGAUAGACUUUGGUGCCAGG
rnacentral:lncRNA from 1 species